rnacentral:rRNA from 1 species
AGAGUUUGAUCCUGGCUCAGGACGAACGCUGGCGGCGUGCCUAACACAUGCAAGUCGAACGGAGAUAUGAUUUCGGUUGUAUCUUAGUGGCGAACGGGUGAGUAACGCGUGAGCAACCUGACUCUUAGAGGGGGAUAACACUCGGAAACGAGUGCUAAUACCGCAUAAGACCACGACAUGGCAUCAUGACGAGGUCAACAUGACGAGGUCAAAGGAGCAAUCCGCUUUGAGAUGGGCCCGCGGCUGAUUAGCUAGUUGGUGAGGUAAUGGCUCACCAAGGCGACGAUCAGUAGCCGACCUGAGAGGGUGACCGGCCACACUGGGACUGAGACACGGCCCAGACUCCUACGGGAGGCAGCAGUGGGGAAUUUUCGGCAAUGGGCGCAAGCCUGACCGAGCAACGCCGCGUGAGGGAAGAAGGCCUUCGGGUUGUAAAGCUCUGUUGUAAGGGAAGAAUGGUAACUUUGAAAAUAUUGAGGUUACAUGACGGUACCCAAGGAGGAAGCCCCGGCUAACUACGUGCCAGCAGCCGCGGUAAUACGUAGGGGGCAAGCGUUGUCCGGAAUUAUUGGGCGUAAAGGGCGCGUAGGCGGAUCGUUAAGUCCGGUGUGAAAGAUCAGGGCUCAACCCCGGAAGGCCUUUGGAACUGGUCAGCUUGAGUGCAGGAGAGGAAAGCGGAAUUCCUAGUGUAGCGGUGAAAUGCGUAGAUAUUAGGAGGAACACCAGUGGCGAAGGCGACUUUCUGGACUGUAACUGACGCUGAGGCGCGAAAGCGUGGGGAUCAAACAGGAUUAGAUACCCUGGUAGUCCACGCCGUAAACGAUGAGUGCUAGGUGUCGGGGGUAUCGACCCCCUCGGUGCCACAGCUAACGCAAUAAGCACUCCGCCUGGGGAGUACGGUCGCAAGACUGAAACUCAAAGGAAUUGACGGGGGCCCGCACAAGCGGUGGAGUAUGUGGAUUCGACGCAACGCGAAGAACCUUACCAAGGCUUGACAUCCUGUGACAGCUAUAGAAAUAUAGACUUCUUAGUUUACUAAGACACAGAGACAGGUGGUGCAUGGUUGUCGUCAGCUCGUGUCGUGAGAUGUUGGGUUAAGUCCCGCAACGAGCGCAACCCCUACAGCCAGUUGCCAGCACAUAAAGGUGGGAACUCUGGCAGAACUGCCGUUGACAAAACGGAGGAAGGUGGGGAUGACGUCAAAUCAUCAUGCCCCUUAUGUCUUGGGCUACACACGUACUACAAUGGCCUGAACAGAGGGAAGCAAAACUGCGAAGUUAAGCGAAUCCCUUAAAACAGGUCCCAGUUCGGAUUGUAGGCUGCAACUCGCCUACAUGAAGUCGGAAUCGCUAGUAAUCGCAGGUCAGCAUACUGCGGUGAAUACGUUCCCGGGCCUUGUACACACCGCCCGUCA